CCCCCCCCCCCCCCCCCCCCCCCCCCCCCCCCCCCCCCCCCCCCCCCCCCCCCCCCCCCCCCCCCCCCCCCCCCCCCCCCCCCCCCCCCCCCCCCCCCCCCCCCCCCCCCCCCCCCCCCGAAACUUCCCUUCCCUUCCCUUCCCUUCCCUGUCCCAACUUGCCUUCUUAACUUUUUUUGUAAUCCUUCCCUUGUUUUACAUCCAAUUGCUCCAAAAUUUCUCUUGUGACUGUUUGGCCAUUUAUUCCCAUUUAAUCUUUAAUUCCCUUGGUUAUCACUUCGCAUCACUUACAGUCUUUUCUGCAGAUGAAUCCUUUAUUUGGCUGGGGGACUAUGAAUUCUGGCUGUCACCUGCUGAGUGGCUCCAGCAAGCCAAAUUUAUCCAGGCACGAAUCAGGCCAGGAGCCUUCAGACACCUCUGGAAACAAACCUGUGAACGGGAUAAAUCCAGAAAUCAUAGGCAACACGCCUUGCACAGUUAAACAGGAGAGUAUUUAGGAAGAAAAUAGUUUUUCAAGGUGAAUGAGUUUGGCAAGAACUCACUGCAAAGAGAUUGUACCAUAAAUUCCUUCUUGCACAGCACAGGAGACUUAGAGCCCCAAAGGGCAACUGAGUCUUUGGCACAAUAAACUUCUAUAUUGCAUCAUAAUGAUGCCAACAGCAACGACCUUGAACUAAGUGUGGUCAGAUGCCACCUUCCAGGAGGAUACAUGGUAUGUUUUGGUGAAGAGCAAACAGUUGCCUGAAUAUAUGCUAGACACAAAUUACUGCAACUCUGAUAAUGGGCAAAAUGUUGCUAUUUCAGACACAAAGACCAGCAUCUUCCCAAUGGAAUGGUGGUGGCCUUUUGGGGUGAAAUACUCUUGGAACACUGUUCGAAGUUGAAACCAGCCUCGCUCAGGGCAAGCUUGACCAAGGCUGAAGAAAUAAUUCCAGGAGAAAAACAGUUUAAAUACUCCAAACACAAUCUGUAAAGGACUCGAAUAUUAUUCAAAGGCAUACUUCUGGUCUGGAGAAAGGAAAAUUUAAGUUCCUCCUUACAAAGUAUUUUUUUCAUGCCUCAGCUCAGGACUUCUAUUUCAUGAGAAAUAUCCUUAUAAAAAACUGCUAUAAUUACAUUCUGGAAUCCUAAAUUACCUAGGUAGAAGAAAUGUCCUAAAUCAAAUGGAACUGUAGGCUAAUGUGUGAGAAUUUUCAAUGAUAAAAACCAAAAAAAAAAAAAAACAAACAAAAGAACCUGAAUGUGAAAGCAGCUCUUUUGUUUUCCUACAGAAUGAUGGAUUACUUCUGAUAAAACUUAUAAUUUAUAGAAAUCUGUUUCUUAGGAGAAGGUACAACUCAUGCCCUUGUACUCUCAUAAUUAAGAGAAAAAUGAACCUGGUAAGUGAUUUAUUGACGAAAAUGUAGGGAAACUAAGAGUUAAACUUCCUAUGUUCACAAUGGACACUGUUAAUUUUGAAAGAAAAGGCAACUGGAGGUACUGGAGCUUCCUUCUUAAUGUCAUUUCCAACACUCAGCUGCAGGUAAUCCUCUGCAUAAAAGUCAUACUCUUCUUAUGUAAACCUUGUAACAGCAGUAUUCAUUAUCUUCCAGAACAAGACAUACACUCUUAGAAAGUAAGUCUGACACCAAGUAGAAAAAUAAUGGAAGAAGUGGGAUAAACCCCCAGACAUUCCUCUGUUCAAUGGAUUUAAAAGUCAAAAUCAACCACUCCCAAGUGUAAGCCAACCUAGCCAAGUGUCUUUCCUAGCUUUGGUUUCUUUUUGUCACAACAUUGUUAAUGAAACGUGGAUUUUAGUUGAUGAAUUUACUUGUAGCAUAGGACUGUAGGACAAGCAAUGUUUCUGCAUUUUGUUGUAUGUCAUCUCAUUAAUUUUUUCCCGUUUUCUCACUUUUUUUUCUGAUUCUCUCCUAUGUUCUACAGGCAUGAGGGAGCGAGCAGUUGCAUGGGACUGAGUUUCUAUCUGGGUUAAACCAUGACAGAGUUUCUCACACAGUGAAACCCUUGCUCAACUGCAGAGGGAAAGGCUACUAAAGUGACAAAGCAGAAUCCAUAUGAAGAAAACUACAGAAGAAGCUUCCCCACCCUUCUCUUUCCAGGUUUCAAAGGAGGUCUUUUGCUGGGCUGGUCUAAACACCAGUAAUUCAACAAGGACCAGGCUGUUUCACAUCACCCUGGGACCUGGGCUGUGCAGGGACAAGGCUGGAGGCAAAUACCCCUCUGAGGACAAGUCUGAUAAAGUCUGGUUAUCUUGCUGGAGGGAAGACAGUGACCAUGCUUGAGCUGUCAUUCGGUUUAAACAUCUGGUAUAGAAAAGCAGAACAUGUGGCUCAGGACUGCAAGCUCAUACUUGUUUCUAAGUCAUCAUCAGCCAAUACCUAGUUCCAAGCCCCGUGGUGAACACUUUGAACACUUACACAGACAUUGUGGAAAAGAAAGGAACUUUUUAAUUUAAAAAUGGCUGUGUGUAUCAAUUGUGGGGUAAACAUCUUCCACUUCAACAAAAACCUGGCCAAGGCAGUGGUCAAGGUAUGAAAGACUGAAUGAAAUGCAGAAAUGUAUGAAAGUGCAGUGCAUUAUUUUCAACUUCUAGCCACUAUUUUUUAAAAAAUGGGUUUAUUUGUCAUUAGUUAUCUGUUACCUGCUCUCCAGAAUUUACUACUGAUACUCAUUAGUACUACAGGAGAACUUGAGAUCUCUUCUGAAUUUUAGGGCACUGCUGUGGUACACUGUGCACUUAGGAAAAUGUACAGAUACUAAUGAGGAGGAAUACAAUACAGGGCAAGGCUGGGAGUAAGCACAGUGGUUUGGGGGAUGUGUUGAAUCUUUGGGGAAGAAGGAGAGGCUAAGAAAUAAAUUUAAAUGCUGCCUUUAAAACAAGCUUAGUAACUCAAUGUGGAAAUAAAGUAGUAUCUCUGACUUCCAAAGUCCCUUUAAUUCAAGAGGUCUGUGAUUUAGUGUUACCUGUUGUUAUUUCAACCUUUAAGUAUCCAAAUAUUGGCAAAUAUAAUAUAAAUGGGGGAGGAAGGAGAACAGAGAUAUAACAACCAUGUAGCUAAUCAAAGAGUGCUCCCUGAAAAUAUGAAGAUUUAUUUUUAACAUAUAAGUCAGAACUAAUCAUAAGAUUAGUGCUUGAACACAAUAUAAAAUAAAAUCAGUUUGAAAAACUAUUUUCUAUCCUUUAAUAUCUUCCUUUUAAGUAAGUGUGGUACUUUCAGCACAGCUGGGCAAUUAAUGCCCUUUUAUGUUGAUUGUGUGAGGCUGAUAUUCAGAGUUAUCACUGUAUCAGUUGCAUUUGCUUGGGAUGAUCAGGAACAAUUAAAAUGUUUCAUUUGAAAGAAAACAUGCAACUCUUUAUUUAUUAUUUAACUAAUGGGAAUGGCUUUCAUCUAUAAAUGUUCAUCUAUAAUUUAGGAAGGAAAAUGCAGUACUGCGGGUUUUUUUCAUAUAUCAGAUGAUUUUCUUAUCAGCAAGGAUUGAAUGUAACCAGUUAUAAAUUGACAAAAACAGCUUUUUAAAGGUACUGCAGUAUUUUCCAAGUGACAGAAUGUCUCUGAAAAAAACCACAUCAUUAUGCCUCAAACAUCCCCUCCCCAAAAUACAAUAUUGUAAAAUAAACAGCAUUAUUUCAGACAAGGAAGUUAUGAUGUUGAACCUGCAAAGAUGUUUGUUUUCUGCCUAUAAACAUGAUAUGUAGAAGGUCUGUCAUGGAGUUUUGUCCACCUGCUUGGGCCCAUGAAAGUCCUUGAGGCUUUGGCCAGAGUAUCCUCAGCCAGAAGGAUUAGACUGUCCACUAGUGACUACCUAGCUACUAACCAAGCUUUCUCCCACCUCAAUUUUUGGUCAGCUCAGGCUCGCUCUCCUUGCUCUCUGGUGCACCCAAAACUAUGGAACUAAAGUCAGUUUUUACGCAGGUCAUUCUGUCUAUGUCCUGCAACCCAUUACCUUAUCACGUGUUAUGUCUUUCUGAGGUUGCAACUUACUGACAGUGUUAAUUUGCACAAUUUUACAUUAGAAGAGUUCCUGCUGAGAUGCCCUAAACUCCACAGAAUGGAGUUCUCUAAGCCUCUGGUUUCUUUAUCUUCUUUGGAGGCUCGACCAGGGGUGACACCUCUAUAGCUGAGCUAUUUCAAACUCCUUUUCCACUUGCCCUCUGCUAAGCAGAACUCAGAUGUACUGAAGGGUAGUGGCCUGCACGCCCAAUUCACAUGGAAUUUUUGCAGAGCAGCAUGCUACUGACAGAUCCAUCAAGCAUUGUUUCUGAAAAGCAGCUCCCAGUGUUCCCUGCCAACUACUAGUUGGAAGGCAGAAAUUAGCCAAGAUAUAGAAGUUUUAAGGCAUAUCAGGA
rnacentral:lncRNA from 1 species